AGGUUUUGGCUCUUUCUCUCCAGUGUGUGAUAUUGAUGCUGUCCCAUUGCCUUCUAUUGUAACCAUGAAGACGGAGAAGCCUGAAGGGGAAAAAACACAGUCCACUGUUUUCUGAGGAAGAACCGUGAGACCCUCUUGCCUCCACUUGUAAUCAUAGGGAAGUGGAAGCUGUGUUUCCUGGAGACCACCUGGGUGAAAAAUGCUAAAUGGACAUCACAGAAGAGCUGCUUUAGAAGUGAAGUUUUGAUUUGAACCACUCAUUUAGUGGUUGUUAAUUAAAUCAAUCUGGUAAUCUGGGUUUUACUUUUUAAAAUGAUUCAUUUAUGAUUCCAAUAUCAUACUAAAGAGGUAGGAAGGAAAAAUAUUCAGAGUAGUAAAAUUAAGGUAGAAGAGUCUAAGAUAAUAAACAACUUCUGUCACUGAUCAUAAAUGGUUAUAAACUCUCCUACUAUCUAUAUAUCUAUAUCAAUAUCUAUAUCUAUAUCUAUCUAUCUAUAUAUAAUGGCAUAAGAACAAAUGUGAAUUUGUUAAUAAUGAAAAUUAUAGGGCAAAUCUAAAUGAGAGAAAAGAAAAUCCUCAAAAAUUUCAAGUAUUUACCCAUCAAUUUUUUUCUUCUGUGUCCCACACUCGUUUCAGAAUACACAUUAAGACUGUCUUCCCACUUAGACAUACUUUCUGUCUCUGGGGAAUGUAAUGCAUACUGUGAUUCUUUAUGGAUUAACUGUAAGUCCAAGACAGUUUUAAGACAUCAAAACUGCCUAACUGGAAACUCUGAGCUGCCCUCAGCCAGUAACCUAGGGGGCUGUGCAACUCAUAGCCUCUGCCUACCUUCACUUGUUACUGCAAUGGAAAUUUCUAUCACUUCUGUUGGGCAGUGACUUUAACGUCUUAUGACCUUUACUUGGCCUGCCUGGUGAGAGUUCUUUGAGGAAUUACAGUUGUGAACAUGUGCUUAAUUUAUUUUUCACCCUCUUUUACACUUUUUUUCUGCAAGUAUUUUAUGUUAUAUUCACACAUAUUAGGAAACUAAUGUCUGUGUAUCUUUCCACACUCACCCUUGUUUUUCUGGGUUUUUUUUUUUUUUUUUUUUGGUAUAUAGUUUUCUCACCCACUGCUAACUUGGCUUCACACUUUAUUUUUUUAUACUAAAGCUCAUUAGUUUUACUUCCUUAGACUGUUUGUAUCACUCCUUGCUUAAGCCCAGUGAAACUGCCUGCCUUGUCAAAAGGUGUACAGAAAACAAUGACAUUUCUGUUUGAAAUCAUUGCUAGACAUACCAUACUAUUAAGAAAAGGUAAAGAUAAGAAAAAGGAGAUAAUUUCUGGCAAGUUUAGAUCUCAGCUUUAAAAAAGUCAAACAUUAGCUUAUGCAAUGAAAGUUUCAAACUGCUGAAUUUAUAAUUUUAAUCUUUUUCAUUCAUCAUGGAAAGUGGAGGCAUAUUUAUCAAACUUACGUAUAUGCAUGUUCAUGUCGGUUUUUGCAUGUCUGAUAAAAACCAAAUAAUCUCUUUUAAGAUGAUCUAAGUCCUUUAAAAUUUUGUUCUUGAAUAAGAAAACUUAGGUCCUUCAAUCUUCUUUAUUUCAAUAGAAGAAUAAUGGUAUGUACUUUUUAUCCAGCAGAAAUAAGCCUAUCCAGUUAAAAUAUUAAGUUAAGCUCGUAUGCUUUGAAAAUGAACUAACAGGAUCAUAAAGAAAACAAAUGCUGCUGUUUCUAAACCAAAGUUUAUAAUGCAUAAAAUAGGAGUUGUAGGGUUACAAAUUAAAGCUUUACCUUUGACACUUUAACACAAACACAAGAACAUUUAAGUUGUAUCUAUUUAUACAAUUAGGAUUGCAAUUAAAAAUAUUUAACUAGUAUAGCACAGGCAGCAACCAAUGGUAACAGGUACACAUUAUUUCCUUGUGUGCUGGUGCACACCAUUAGCUCUGCGUCAAUUGUUUUGCCAGCAGGUUACUAUAUUUCCUUGUUAUCAAACCAUGGCUUAAUAUUAUUUUCAAUAAAAUGAGUACUUUCACAAAUGAAA